AACGGCCGUACCAUGCUGAAUAUACCGGUUCUCGUUAGAUCACCGAAGUGAAGCAUCAUUGGGCGUGGUCAGUACUUUCACCACCUGGAA